GUAUUUUUAUAAAAUAUAACGACAUUCCGAUACAUGCGUGGUUUGUAAAAAUGAAGGCGGGUCCCCUUGCGGGGUCCCACCCGAGUGCACAGGUGUGUGGAUGGAUUUUUCCGGCGUGCAGCCCCGAGAGGGACGCACAGCCAGAGAAAAUUCGUUAAUGAUCCUUCCGCAGGUUCACCUACGGAAA
rnacentral:misc_RNA from 1 species